rnacentral:rRNA from 1 species
GAUGAACGCUGGCGGCGUGCCUAAUACAUGCAAGUCGAGCGAACAGAUGAGGAGCUUGCUCCUCUGACGUUAGCGGCGGACGGGUGAGUAACACGUGGAUAACCUACCUAUAAGACUGGGAUAACUUCGGGAAACCGGAGCUAAUACCGGAUAAUAUAUUGAACCGCAUGGUGCAAUAGUGAAAGACGGUUUUGCUGUCACUUAUAGAUGGAUCCGCGCCGCAUUAGCUAGUUGGUAAGGUAACGGCUUACCAAGGCGACGAUGCGUAGCCGACCUGAGAGGGUGAUCGGCCACACUGGAACUGAGACACGGUCCAGACUCCUACGGGAGGCAGCAGUAGGGAAUCUUCCGCAAUGGGCGAAAGCCUGACGGAGCAACGCCGCGUGAGUGAUGAAGGUCUUCGGAUCGUAAAACUCUGUUAUUAGGGAAGAACAAAUGUGUAAGUAACUAUGCACGUCUUGACGGUACCUAAUCAGAAAGCCACGGCUAACUACGUG